rnacentral:rRNA from 1 species
GUGCCAGCAGCCGCGGUAAUACGUAGGGGGCGAGCGUUGUCCGGAAUUACUGGGCGUAAAGCGCGCGCAGGCGGCCUAUUAAGUCAGGUGUUAAAAUGCGGAGCUUAACUCCGUAUCGCACUUGAAACUGGUAGGCUUGAGUGCAGGAGAGGGAAGUGGAAUUCCCAGUGUAGCGGUGAAAUGCGUAGAUAUUGGGAGGAACACCAGUGGCGAAGGCGACUUCCUGGACUGUAACUGACGCUCAGGCGCGAAAGCUAGGGGAGCAAACAGGAUUAGAUACCCUGGUAGUCCUAGCCGUAAACGAUGGGUACUAGGUGUUGGGGGUUUCAAUCCUCCAGUGCCGCAGUUAACGCAUUAAGUACCCCGCCUGGGGAGUACGGCCGCAAGGCUGAAACUCAAAUGAAUUGACGG